GGCGGACGGGUGAGUAACGCGUAAGAACUUGCCCUUUAGACUGGGAUAACAGAGGGAAACUUCUGAUAAUACUGGAUAAGUUAGUAUAUCGCAUGAUAUGCAAAUGAAAGCUACGGCACUAAAGGAGAGCUUUGCGUCCUAUUAGCUAGUUGGUAAGGUAAGAGCUUACCAAGGCGAUGAUAGGUAGCCGGCCUGAGAGGGUGGACGGCCACAAGGGACUGAGAUACGGCCCUUACUCCUACGGGAGGCAGCAGUG
rnacentral:rRNA from 1 species